AUUGAACGCUGGCGGCAGGCCUAACACAUGCAAGUCGAGCGAGCGGCGGACGGGUGAGUAAUGUCUGGGAAACUGCCUGAUGGAGGGGGAUAACUACUGGAAACGGUAGCUACUCCCGCAUACCAUCAGAUGUGCCCAGAUGGGAUUUGCUAGUAGGUGGGGUAACGGCUCACCUAGGCGACGAUCCCUAGCUGGUCUGAGAGGAUGACCAGCAAAAGUGGAACUGAGACACGGUCCAGACUCCAGCGGGAGGCAGCAGUGGGGAAUAUUGCACAAUGGGCGCGAGCCUGAUACAGCCAUGCCGCGUGUGUGAAGAAGGCCUUAGGAUUGGAAAGCACUUUCAGCGGGGAGGCGUUGCCCGCAGAAGAAGCACCGGCUAACUCCGUGCCAGCAGCCGCGGUAAUAC
rnacentral:rRNA from 1 species